rnacentral:rRNA from 1 species
UUCGAGGGAUGCAAGCGUUAUCCGGAAUUAUUGGGCGUAAAGCGUUUGUAGGCGGGCGAGUGUGUUUAAUGUUAAAUCUUAAAGCUCAACUUUGAAAUUGCGUUAAAAACUGCUUGUCUUGAGUAUGGUAGGGGUAAAGGGAAUUCCCAGUGUAGCGGUGAAAUGCGUAGAUAUUGGGAAGAACACUAAACAGCGAAGGCACUUUACUAGGCUAAUACUGACGCUGAGAAACGAAAGGUAAGGUAGCGAAACGGAUUAGAUACCCGUGUAGUCUUACCCGUAAACUAUGGACACUAAACGGUAAAUUUUUAAUUUACUGUUAAAGCUAACGCGUUAAGUGUCCCGCCUGGGGAGUAUGCUUGCAAAAGUGAAACUCAAAGGAAUUGACGGGGGCCCGCACAAGCGGUGGAGCAUGUGGUUUAAUUCGACGGUACACGAAGAACCUUACCAGGAUUUGACAUGCUAGAUAGUUGCUUGAAAGAGUAACGUGCCGUAAGGAAUCUAGACACAGGUGGUGCAUGGCUGUCGUCAGUUCGUGUUGUGAAAUGUUGGGUUAAGUCCCGCAACGAACGCAACCCUUGUCUUUAGUUAUUUUCUAAAGAGACUGCCUGUAAUAAACAGGAGGAAGGUAAGGAUGAGGUCAAGUCAUCAUGCCCCUUAUGUCCUGGGCUACACACGUGCUACAAUGGGAAAGACAAUGAGCUGCAAAUCUGUAAAUUUAAGCAAAUCUCUUAAACUUUCUCGUAGUUCGGAUUGUGGGCUGCAACUCGCCCACAUGAAGUUGGAAUCGCUAGUAAUCGCCAGUCAGCUAUAUGGCGGUGAAUCCGUUCCCGGGCCU